AUGCUUACUUCGGCAGCACUUAUACUAAAAUUGGAACUAUACAGAGAAGAUUAGCAUGACCCCUGUGCAAGGAUGACAUGCAAAUUUGCAAAGCAUUCCAUAUAUUU